UACAGAGGGUGCAAGCGUUGUUCGGAAUUAUUGGGCGUAAAGCGCGUGUAGGCGGCUUAGCAAGUCAGAUGUGAAAGCCCAUGGCUCAACCAUGGAAGUGCGUCUGAAACUGCCGAGCUUGAGUACCGGAGAGGAUGGCGGAAUUCCGCAAGUAGAGGUGAAAUUCGUAGAUAUGCGGAGGAACACCGGUGGCGAAGGCGGCCAUCUGGACGGUAACUGACGCUGAGACGCGAAAGCGUGGGGAGCAAACAGGAUUAGAUACCCUGGUAGUCCACGCUGUAAACGAUGAGAACUAGGUGUCGUGGGUGUUGACCCCCGCGGUGCCGUAGCUAACGCAUUAAGUUCUCCGCCUGGGAAGUACGGUCGCAAGAUUA
rnacentral:rRNA from 1 species